UAACAUUAAAUCCAAUAGUAUUCUUUAAGUCAACAUCGUGGAUAGAAAAUACGUAUCGUGUAUGUUUACAUACUGGAUUUUUACAAAAUAACAACGAUUUUCAUAUUGCAUUAAUGGUACAUUAAUGACAGAUUAAUUUUCUGAUAUAAAAUGGUUAUUUUAUUUCUCUUAAUUGGUAUACAGGUGCUUGGAAUAUAGAGCUUUGUAUGUGAUGUGUUUGGUUUCAAUAUAUUUCUAGGAAUACAGUAGAGUUCUAAGCUACGAUGCCUAUUAGAAGGGGUCACGUAGCUCCUCCAAAUAUCUUCAUAGAUACAAUCAUUCGGAAGUUCGAUGGACAAAAUAGAAAAUUUGUGAUAGCCAAUGCUCAAAUAGAAACAAAUCCAGUGAUCUUCUGUAAUGAUGGAUUUUGUGAACUCAGUGGUUACUCGCGUGCAGAGGUCAUGCAGAAGACUUGUGUUUGUGAUUUCAUGCAUGGACCCCUUACAAGCUCAACUGCCAUGCUGCAAAUUAAAGAUGCUUUACUGGGAUCUGAAGAAAAACAGGUGGAAAUAUUAUAUUACAAAAAGGAUGGGGAGAAAUUUCUAUGCAGUGUCCUGAUUGCACCAGUGAAGAACGAACAUGGGGAGAUAAUUCUUUUUAUUAUAAAUUAUGAAGAUAUCACAGAUGCUCCUAACAAAGUUCAAGUCUUACCAGAGAUACGUAACUUACGUAACAGCAAAUUAGAUAAUUUCCGAAACAAUCGUCACAGAAGUUUCAAGCUCAAGUUGCCAUCACUACGUAAAGAACUGAAGUUUAAAACUAAAGGUGUUGACACAUCACCUGACCCAGAGAAUCCACCUAUUCCCGAGGAAGCAGUUCCGCUCAAUCAGAUUGGUGGCUCUAAUGACACUAUUCCACAGUCUAACUCUAUUCAUGCAUCAACCAAUAUGGUUGUGGAUCAGGUUACUCCUGUUGAUCAGUCAGAAGUUACUCUUCAGAAUGAAAACAGUUUACUUGCUCCUAAUGUGCCGUCAGGGUUACGUAGGGCAUCGUCAUUGGAAGGAUUUGAUAUGCCAAAAACACAAGAUAGAUAUGAUAAACUGGGAGAAUCAGCUGUCAUGGGUAAUCAUGUGAAAAUGAAUCAGAUGAAUCAAGCGUCCAGUGAUUCAGAGUUGACGAAAUUCCGAACAAAGACGUUACAGGACAGUCAGAUUGACUUGACGGAGGCAGAGAAGCUGAAAGCUCUUGACGGAUUGAGUCAAAAUGCGAAAGGCUUGUUCUUGCCUGGUGUACAGAACAUGAAACAUAAUGUCUCGGAAAAAGUCGCACAGGAAAGGUCUGUGAAAGAGGAAAUUCAAAAAUUGGUAUUAUCACUUGGGGCGGAUGUGCUUCCAGAAUACAAACUUCAGUCGCCACGGAUACACAAAUGUACAAUACUACACUACUCACCAUUUAAAGCUAUCUGGGACUGGAUCAUACUUCUUCUAGUGAUAUACACAGCGAUAGUCACUCCAUAUAUGGCAGCGUUUCUGCUAAAUGAAAAUCAUCGAGACAAAAAUAAAAACAGAUACAAUGACCCAUUAACAAUCACAGAUCUUUUAGUGGACGUUAUGUUUAUAAUUGAUAUUUUAAUAAAUUUUCGAACUACAUAUGUAAAUAAAAAUGACGAAGUAGUGAGCCAUCCUGGGAAAAUUGCAAUACAUUACUUUAAAGGCUGGUUCUUGAUAGAUGUGGUUGCCGCUAUUCCAUUUGACCUACUUUUGUUUGGAUCAGAAACUGACGAGACAACAACAUUGAUUGGACUUUUAAAAACAGCUAGAUUGUUACGGUUAGUGAGGGUUGCUAGGAAACUUGACAGAUACUCAGAAUAUGGAGCGGCAUUUUUGUUGUUGCUUAUGGCAACAUUUGCCCUGAUUGCUCAUUGGUUGGCUUGUAUAUGGUAUGCAAUAGGCAACUAUGAAAGACCUUAUUUAUCUGACCCAAAGAUAGGCUGGCUUGACGAAUUAGCAAGACAGACACAUCAGGGGUACAAAAAUGACUCUUACGGUGGACCUUCGAUGGAGUCAAAAUAUGUUACAGCAUUGUAUUUCACAUUUAGCAGCUUAACCAGUGUCGGAUUUGGAAAUGUGUCACCUAAUACAAACUCAGAGAAAAUCUUCAGUAUACUGAUUAUGUUGAUUGGAUCCCUGAUGUAUGCCAGUAUCUUUGGUAAUGUCAGUGCAAUAAUUCAACGCCUUUAUUCUGGAACUUCACGAUAUCAUACUCAGAUGUUACGAAUUAAAGAAUUCAUACGUUUCCACCAGAUUCCGAAUCCUUUACGACAGAGAUUAGAGGAGUACUUUCAACAUGCUUGGUCAUACACCAAUGGCAUCGAUAUGAACAUGGUGCUGAAGAGCUUUCCAGAAUGUUUACAAGCUGAUAUAUGUUUCCAUUUAAACAGAACUUUGCUCAGUAAUUGUUCAGCAUUUAGAGGUGCAAGUCCCGGAUGUUUGAGAGCCCUAUCAAUGAAGUUUAAAACAACCCAUGUUCCACCUGGUGACACACUGGUACACAUGGGCGAUAUACUGACAGCAUUGUACUUUGUUUCACGUGGUUCCAUAGAAAUACUCAGAGAUGAUAUAGUUGUUGCUAUUUUAGCGGGACAAGAAGAUGAGAAUAAAGGCAAGGAUGAUGUAUUCGGAGAGAAUAUAUGUAAAUAUGACACAGUCGGCAAGUCAAGUUGUAAUGUACGAGCCCUGACUUACUGUGACCUUCACAAGAUACAUCGAGAUGAUCUGCUUGAGAUACUUGAUAUGUAUCCAGAAUUUGCUGAACAGUUUGUGAAAAAUCUUGAGGUUACCUUUGAUCUGAGAGAUAAAACACUGGCAGGUGAUCAUGAGGAUCAGUUGUCGUCUUUCUGGAUCAGCCAGGGGACUGACGAUGAAGAAGUGGAGCAAAAGCCUAGAAAUCUGCGGAAACGUCGAGUGAAAACAAAAUCUAAUAUAGAACCUGCAGAUGACGAAAAUGAAAACUAUCAUUUCCGGCCAAAGCGUGUACAUAGAAUGCGUCGUGGGAUGGAGACUGGUCCAACAGUUUCCAUGUCAUUUGAAGACACCUCGGAUGAGGAGAUGCGUCAGAGUGGUGGUGGAAUACUAGAGUUCUCUCCCUUGAAGGCUGGCCAAGAUGUAACCCCGGCUAAUUUGGACUUUGGUCCCAUGCAUCAUCAUCAUCACCAUCAUCAUCAUCAUGGUCCAUAUGAACAUGAGAGGAAACGGUCAUCUGGCUUUUCUACAAUAACUGGUGCUUUAACUAGUGUCAAUCAGCUUGUUAACUUCUCAAGUUGUCGAGAUCCAAAUAAAGACACUGAUACGGCACCAUUAUUACAGGAAUCUAUUACGCCAGAAGUACAGCCAAAAGCUACAUCGAGUUCAAGUGUUCCAAAGUCCACAUCCAGUAUGACACUACCCCUGUCCACACCCUCCAGUCAUUCACAGUUUGAGGAAGGGGCAGUGUGUGCCCGAGUCUCAGUCCACUCCACAGAAGGAGACCCUCAACCACAAGGUUCUGGAGACGUAGAAAGGAGAAUCGAACUGAUGGCAAAGCAACUAACCCGGCUCGAGCAUAAACUGAGUUCAGAUAUAAAUAUGAUACUGUCCAUUCUUCAACAUCAAGCUCAAAAUACAACACAUGUAGAGGGGGUAGGCCACACCCAUGGUGAAGCCUUACAGGGGGCAGGGGCACCCCAAGAUGGUAUACCUCCUUCUUACAGCGACUGUAUUGAUGAAGAGGAUGAGAACCAGAAUUGUGAUACUGUACCUUUAGUCCAGGUAAAGCCUGAUGCAAAGGGAGAAAUGAGUUGUGACUCACCAUGGCAACGGAGAUCUGGGGAAACCACCCCUUCUCAAGUUCCAGCAUCCACACGGGGUAGUGCCCCAUUCAGCAGCCAAUCAACAACGCCAUUCCUUACUCACAGCCAAUCAGAUUCAUUUUCUCAAAUAGACUCCAGGUCUCCAAACCAAUCAGAACAACCGAAACAACCCAAUGUUAGCCAAUCAGCAGAGACUCCUAAUUAUGAAGAUGAUACACAGCUUACAACUGUUUCUGAAGAUCAAACGUGUGAUGACUUUGCACAUAGUUUAGCUUGUGAUCAUUUGUCAGAGAAUUUAGACAUGUCCUUAGAUCCUGAAAGUGAGUCCAGUGAUAGAAUAGAGACUCAAGAUCUCCUUGAAGAUGAAGUGAACUACGAUUCUGAUGACGAAUUGUUGUGUAAUGAACAAAAGGAGCAUCACUGUCAAACUUUAGAAUCUCAUGGUGUAUCACAUGAUCAGAGACAUAGGUCACAUGACCAGCCAGAUGAUGAAAGAUCAUCACAAUUGUCACAUGAUGUUACUGACCAAUCAGCAAACAUAUCUGUAGUUAUAGAUGGAGAAAACAUCCAUAGAACAAAAAACACAACAGUAUAGCAGUGUUCACUAACUAUAGAAACAGCACCAGUUUCAUUAAAUCAACAUUUCACCUUGACUGAAUUCAUGCAUUAUGUUAAUGUGAUCUUUUAGCUUGUAUUUCCAUUAACGAAAUUUGUGCUCAUCAAAAUGAAAGGCUCCCAUGUUAAUUUGGAUGUAGGGGAGUUGUAAGUUGUCCGAAACUACUGGUCAGUUUUCACCCAAUGUUCACUAUAGGAUCCUCUCAUGUAGCUUCAGUGUAAUGCAUCAACAGCAAGAACAGUGAUUGGAAUAUAGUGGUAGUUUUAUUUGGCACAAGUGUAGAUAACAUGGCAAUUUAAAACAAAUGUUAGAGUGAAAUAUUUCUGGUAAUUUUAUAGUGAAAGGUAAAAAGCUUAUAAAAUGGGUAGCCUUUACUUAAAACAAUGUGUUUGUUUUACAUGUACGAUAAACAUAUCUCUUUCACUUGUGAACACAAGAUAUUUAUGCCCCCUUCAAAGAAAUUUGGGUAUUUUGCUUUGCACUUUGUCCAUCAUGUUGGUUGGUGUGUCAUCCAUCCGUCUGUUAGUAGAGUGAAUGGUUUCUGCGAAUGUGUUGAGAACGAAUUAACCUGGAACCUUCAACCUUACUAGCAUGAUUGGACGUUAUCAAGUAGGUGACAUGUUUAGAGUUUGGGUUAAGUAGGUCUAAAGGUCAAUGUCACAAGAAUCAAAACCUUUAAAAUGCACUGUAACUUGAGAACCACUUGACCCAGAACAUUCAAACUUGGUAGGAUAAUUAGGCUAAGUAGAUUGCCCUUAAUAUUUUAGGAUUAGUAGGUCAAAAGUCACAAAGGCCAGAACCUUGAAAAUAGUUUCGCCAAAUAACUUGAGAAGCACUUGACCCAGAACAUUCAAACAUGGUGGCAUGAUUGGGCUUAGCCCAUAGAUGAUCCCUAUUUUUUUUGGGUUCAGUAGGUCAAAGGUUAAGGUCAUAGUGAUCAGGGGACUGAAAAUGGGACAACCUAUCUGGGUGGGGGAGAGGGGGGCAUACAUGUUUUACAAAUAGCUCUUGUUUACAUUUGCACUAUGCCACUUGUGAAAAUUGCAUCUGGUGUUCACUCCAUAGGAAAUAUUUAGAUCUUGCACAAAAACAAACAAAUCUUCAAUGUAUUGUACUAUUAAUAUAUCUUUCACUUGUGAACACAAUGUUAAUUUUGCUCUAUGCCACUUCUGAAAAUUGCAUCUUGUGUUCACUCCAUGAAAAAUAAAAUCUUACACUAAAACAAACAAAUACCUCCUAUUGCAUUUGAUGACAGAUUUUGUUGAGAAUCAACAAAACUUUUCAAAAUUUUGCAAAACAACAUUGACAGAACAGUGACAGAACAAGGCUGAAACAGCAUUGGUAGUGUUCUUUUUCAUCAGUAGUAUUGCACUGGAACAGCUAGACUAAGUAUGGUAUUGCUGUUCAGAUGCACUUGUUUUUCAUUGGAACAACAGUAAUAGUACUGCACUUGUGCAGCAGUUGUAACAAAAGUAUUGUAAGUGCUAUGACACAGCUGAAACAGCAAUAGUACUGCACAGGGACAGCAGUAGUAUUGCACUGGACCAGAAGUUACUGUACCAUGAGUAUAGGUCGCACCUUUUUUACCGAGAUUCUGGUCAGGAAGGACCGAUAUGACCUAUACAUGGGUAUAGGACAAGACCACAUUUUUUCCCUGGCUCAAAAAAUUAAGAAAAUUGAUCUUUGUUUACACCGCGUAUCUUUACAUUGAAGGGAAUUCAAGGGGAGUAAAUACCUAUGUCUCUGGCAUAGCCUGUGUAAAACUUUCCCAAGUUGGUGUUUUCACAAAACUGGCAAGUACAUCAAACCUACAGUAAUUACAAGUUGGCGCAACACAAGAGUUGUUUGAGAAAGUGAUGAGAUCGAAAAGGUAUAGGUGUUGAGAAGUUUGAGAUAGUUUGGACAAAACUUUAAAUACCUGUGUUUUCGAUAGCAUCUCAUACUCAAUUUCUCCCAUUAUUGUCUAUCAAAUAUAGCCCACCUGCUUAGCUCAGUAGGAAGAUCUACGGAUCUCGGGGCCAUGUGUUCGAGCCCUGGGUGAGGCGUAUUUUCUCCGUGAUGCUUUGAUAAAAGACAUUGUGUCUGAAUCAUUUCUCCUCAACCUCUGAUCCAUGUGGGGAAGUUGGCAGUUACUUGCAGAGAACAGGUUUGUACUGGUACAGAAUCCAGGAACACUGAUAAGGUUAAAUGCCUGCUGUUACAUAACUGAAAUACUGUUAUUAAACGGCGUAAAACCCCAAACAAAAAACAUAUACAAUAUAUAAAUAAAUAAAUUCCAUUGAAACUGUAAAUUUAGUAGUAUCUCAUCUCAUGAUUUUAAUAAGUCAUUUUCACAACUUUGUUAAAAUUACGGGUGCCGGCCGAUGCCAGGAAAAUCGCAUUUCCUUACAAAUUUACAUGUUUUUGACGUUACUUUUUAGCUUGACUUUUUGGAGAAAAAUUAGAGCUAUUGCACUCGCCCAGGCGUUGCCAUCGCUGUUGGUUAAAGUUUUUGAUAAAGUCAAAUAUCUGUUACUAUCAAGGCUUUUGACUUGAAACUUGAAAUAGUUAUUUACUCUCAAAGUCUACACCAGGAGAAACAAUCCAUGAAUAUUGACAGAGUUAUGCCCCUUUUUAAUUUAGAAGUUUUCACUGGCAAAGCUCUAAUUCAGAGUCAAGCACUGAGAAAAGUCAAGCAUGCUGUCUUACGGACAGCUCUUGUUUUGUCUGUGACCAAUACAUGGGUAUAAGCAUUUUUCCAGAAAUCCAUAGAUAAUUUUUCGCUGCGUCUUAUACAGGAAUGCAACAUACUCGUACGAUGAUUGUAAAAGUAUUGCAGUUGCCAUAUUGCAGCUUGCAGGUGUCAUAAUACAUCUGAAAGAGCAAUAGUAUUGCACGUGUUAAAACAGAUGUAACAUUAUAUAAGCUAAUCAUUAGUAAAUAACCAUACAUAUAUUUAAACAAUAUUGAACUGUUGAGCACCAUUGUUAUGUAGUUUUAGUUUUCUAUCGCACAAGUAUCCAUUAUGAAAGACAAAUUAGUUGUAUUGUCAGUUUGCAGAGCCCAUAUUCAUCCAUGUUUAAAGUCUAUAAUUUGGACUUCAAAAUACUAGAUUUCUUUUUGGCUCAGUCACAGUAUAGUUAGUAAAGAUAUUGGAACUGCAUGCAUGUUCCAUACACAGGUGCAAACUACUCAACAAAAUUUCCUCUGUAGAAAUAGGCUCACAGAAUAGUUGCCACUCAAAGUCGCUGACUGAAAAUUGAUGAAUACAAGCCAAGUACUCAAAAAGAGAAAAUGUGUGAGUGUGAUACUUAUACAAGUUAAGUUUUGCUUAACUUUAGUUUGUCUUCUUAGCAUUAUUUUACUGAUUUCCCCUUACAUUGUAAGGGAAGCCAAAUUGUUGUACUUUAUUUUGUCUUCAGAGCGUAUUUUAACAUCAAGUUGAAUUACAUGGCCCUUUUGACAACAAAAUUUAUAUUACACUAUAAAUUUUGUAUUUUUCACAGUUUUUGUUAAGAUAAAUAAGAUAUUGUAAUUAUACUUUGCAUGUUAUUUAAGAAAUAAUGUAUAGAAAAACCAUUUUUUAACAUUAUUAAUACACGGAAAGAGAAAAUAAUACGUCUGCGGAAUAAUUUCAGGAGGGCGUAGCCCGAGUGAAUUAUUCUGGCGAUGUAUAACUGAUUUUGAGUGUAUUAAUUUAGGUAAAACACGAUUUUGCUAUACAUUAUUUCGAUUCUAAUAUGCCCUUAAUCUAAAUCAGUUGUGCAUUUCUUGGCCGCAACAAAAACAUUGAUGUCAUCGCAUGUUAACGUGACGUCAAUUUAGCGUAAGCGUGUUUUAACAGAAACUAGCAUAUUAGAAUUACAUUUAUAACAUAGCUGAAACAUUUGUGCAAAAUGUCAGCAUUAUAGUUGCAUUAUUAAGGUUCAGAGGGUGAUUUGGCUGGAAAUAUAUAUUUUGCAGUAUCUAGGGUAUGCUUCUACUGUUCUACUGGUCAGGGUAUUUUGUACGGAACAUAAAACAUUUCCUGUCGUACAUUAAUUCUUACCAUAGUUCUUUUGGUGAAAAUGACAAGAAACCUGCUCCAGUAGCUCUAGUGGUGACAACACUAGAAACCUGCUCCCAGUAGCUCUAGUGGUGACAACACUAGAAACCUGCUCCCAGUAGCUCUAGUGG